CCCAGAUCUGGUCCCUUUAGGACAUAAAGCCAAAGUUGAAGUUGGGGGGGACUGGGGGGAGAAAUCCAGAAUCUCCUUUUAUAGUUAAAGGCUUUUUCUCUACAUCUAGAAUCGGCUGAAAGGUGUUGCAUACGCCCCUGUUUCCGGUGAUCAGAAGCCACCAGUCGUGAGCUUGCAGAGCUUGGAGGGGUGAACACACACCACUGGCCGGUCCCAGAAAUAAGGAAGGGGAUUGGCUCCUGAAUUCAUGCAGGGGCUCUGGCCCCACUGUGCGGUUCAGAGGCCCUGCUCACACCUGCACUUCGGUGGAAGAGUGGACCCAGAUUCACUUCCGGGGACGAGGCCACGGGCUCAGGUCUUCUCGGAACCACGCCAUUUGCAGACCCUGAGAUCAACAGCUCCCAAAGGCCCUAGAUCGUGCUAAUGUGUGACCUACAUAUACGGAAAACCCAUCAAGUCUCACUUGGAAGAAAAUUCUAAACCAUUAAAGGGGAACUUUAUUAUCAUCAAAAAGCAUUUUUGAUGAUGUCUUUCUGCACACCGUUCAUUUUCUUCUCGUUUGCUCCUGUCUGUGACUGCGUCUAUACAACAUCACACACAAGAAAGAAAGGGAACAAGUCAGUCAAAGAAGUUUUUCAUGUUAUGCAGAUAACACUCCUGGAGGAUUUAAUUUCUU
rnacentral:lncRNA from 9 species